CCUCGAGGCUGGAUGCUGGACCUUCCUUUGGGCCAGAUGGGCGGGGAUCUGAUCUUGAUGCUUUACCAAGACAUCACAGUUUUUGUGUAGGUCUGAAACUGUAAGACAUAGAGGUUUCUUCAGGCUUCAGAGUUGAGUGGCAGUGGCCUCUGAUAAUGAGAGAGAGUCAUCUUGAAAGGGGGUAUAGAAAGAAUUGGGCUUUUGGAGAAUGGCUUCUGAUAUCAGACCUGGGGUUGAAUCUGGGCUUUACCACCUAUUAGCUCUCUGACCUUGGGUGAGUCACUUAAACUUUUUUUUUUUCUUUGCCUCAUUUUUAAUAGUAAUAAUGUCUACCUCAUAGGGCUGUGGUAAAGAUUAAAUGAGUUAAUUUAAGCACAGCAAUUAGAAGCAUGCCUGGUACAAAGGAAGCAUUAUAUAAAUGUUGAUGGUUGUUAUUUCAAGGUUGGGAGAGCUUCUCAAACAGAUUUGGCUACAAUCUGAAGACAGUGGCAGAAGGCGGAGGGGGUGUUAUAAUUGAUUAUAAUAGUUCCAAUUUGCUGAGCAUAAAUAGCACCAAGCCUUAUACAUGGAACAUUAUAAUGUAAGGAUGUACUGGGGACUAGGGCACAUUUAAAAGAGAGGAUAUAAACGAGGGAACUGGUCACACAGGUGGAGGAAUAGCUGGCAAGGCCAUCUGGGAUAUGAGGCAACCCAGGGAUUAGCCAGAGUGAGGUCUACAUCUACCCGUAGGCUGGAGGGAUAACAGAAUUCAGGGUACCUGGAGGCUAUGGGAUGGGGUUGCUCAGUAGGCACUAGAACCACGGUGGGGCCGGGCUGAUGGGAGGUAGGAUGGUGACAGAGAAGCCAUUGGAGGGACUCACCAAGGGAGAGAGAAAAGGAGAGGAUGCCAUGGCUUCUCCUUCCUUUCCACCUUCCGUCUCCCAUGGGCCAAGCUGAAAGCCAGCCUGUGGGUGUCCAUUCCCUCCUACCAUGCAGACCAGUGAAAAGAUGAGGAAUGGAUUUGAAAAAUCAUUCAAAUCAGGCCUGGUAUACCAUUGCCCUAGAUGUCUAGGAAGGCAUUUAUAUUUCCCAGCUUAUAGAUGCAGAUAUUGAAGCUGAGAGAUGAAGUUAACGGUUCACCUGUUCAAAGCUGGUGAAGUGCCGAAGGCAGGAACAGAAUCUGAACCAGCCUGACUCCAAAGUCACAUCUUCCUGCUGUGCAGUGAGGCCCCUUGGCUCAGUUCUCCAGCAAGUGCUCCACACCAGCCUUACUUACAGAGUGGUCUGGGGUCCCUGUGUAGAACCUCCUCAUUGCAUUGGCUUGUACUUGGGACUCUUCAGGUGUGAGAGUGAGAAGCUGGGAGAGCUUUUUGGGGCUUAAAGACUUAAAGCAUUUCUUGUGAAACUCUGGCUCAAGGCCUCUACCAAACCAGGCACAUAAGAAUCAAUUGUGGGAGCUUUUCAAAUGUCAGUGUCUUUAUUCCUGGAGAUUCUGAAAUGGUAUAAGAGGGCUUAGAAAUUGAAGAUACAUGUUUUUAAAACUUUCUAGAUGAUGCUGAAGUCUGGCCUUGACUAGUAUCCUCUGGCCUUACCAUCUGCCCUGAUGGCCUGAAUAGGUGGUCAGAAGCUGCUCUGUUCAAAUUAAUUACUCAUUAAAGGUCAUAUUCCCAUCCAGGCUGCCUGGAAGUGAAUGUGGGGGGAGGCAAAGAGAACUUUUAGGCCCCAGAACCCUAACAGUAGGCUCACCAGCCUAGACUAGAAUGCUGUUUUUUUCAUUGAAAAAAAAACUUGUUUUACAUGAAAAUACUCAAGUCAGUGCUAGGCUCUCUUUGGAACUAGGAACUCCCCAUCCUCUGUUUUGUUGCUACUAUUUGAUAUGUCAGAAUUUUAUAAUUCACUGUUUGAGAGUCUGUAAAGUCUCUCCAUCAAGAGGGGCUGCUUGGCACCCCGAAUGAAUUCACUUUCUCCAUUCCCAGUUACUUAGGCUUCUUGACUGGAAUGGAACUAUCUCAGGGCUGAGAAUUUAGGGACUCUGCUUGAAAGGUAAUUCAAUGUGUGAUUGUCUCUAAAUAGCAAUCUUGCCUAGACAUUAUUUUAGAAGAUAAAAAAAAAAAUGUGUUCCAGGUUGAAAUUCUACUAAUUUGUAAAGGUCUCUAUUUUGGUUGCACUUUAGAAGAAAUGUAGAGCUUUAGAAUAUUGAUGCAAAUGUUUCACCCACAGGUAUUCUGGUUAAAUCAGUCUGUGAGAUGGGUUUGGGCAUUAGUAUAUAGGUUUUAAGUUCUCUAAGUGAUUCUAAUGAAUAAAUGAAUUGGGAAGAAUCAAUUGUAGUACUGCCCUACUUCUGUUUCACACUUUGAAACUAGAUUUGUUACUCUAUCUCUUGUCUACUCUAAAAAUCUCUUGCUUUUACCUGUUUCCUCAUAUCAUAUCCAUGCUGGACAUAGGACCUCACUGUUGAUGUUUCAGUUAAGAGUUAUGGCUGGACUCCAGUUACCUGCUUCAAAUACAGAAAGACAGAUCAUUUUUCAAAGGCAGAAUCUCAGGAGAGAAAGUUGGAAGAUGAUAUACCAAUAGGGUGCAAUUCUGGUUAAAUGUAAAAUUUUGACUUACAAAUUACUACAUCAUUUAAUCUUACUCUAAUAAUGUUAACUGUCACAACUAACAGUAACUUUCAUAGUGCACCAAGCUCUGUGCUACGAACUUGGCAUGUAUCAUCUCGUUUAAUUCUCACUAUGACUCUGUUACAGAAGCUCUAUUACUCUGCCUGUUCUAUAGGGGAGAAAAUUAAGACCAAAGUAGGCAAGUGCUUGUCUGAGAAGUACAGCUAGUAAGAGUUCUCCUCGAACCAUGCUUCUGUUUCCAAAGCCCAGGUUCAUGAUAGCUGCCACCAUCAGUGUGGACCCACAUGAUACAUCCUUAGAGCACAUAUUGUCUGUAGAGCCAUCGGUUGGCAAGUUUAUGCUCUGAACAGCCACCUCUGCAGGUGGAGAGAUACAAGGUGCAUGGGUUAAUUCUGUCGGCGGAAUGCUCUAGAAAAGUUCCACUUUUGGAGUUCAUUUUACAUAGGAUUUAGAGCCCACACGUACCCUGCAUGAGGGUGACAUGUUCAGCUAUAGCCUCACCAAUUUGUUGGGCAGUUUUGUGACCUUCUCCCCACUUGAGGUGCCCACUCCCCCCAUCUUCAUUUGUGAAGCAUCCAGACAUAAGCUGGCACUGUGCACUUAGAUGGGUCCGGUCCUGUGCAGUUAGAUGGGUCUAACUCUUAGAUGGGUCUGGUCCUGUGCAGUUCCAUGCAAGGUGCUUUUGUAUGAGAAAUCCCUCUGGUGGGUACUUCUGUUGGAAUCCUUGGCUGGCGCAGUGCUCUUGUAAUUUUCUACUUCUACCCACACAGACCCUUGGUCUUUGGCCAUAGAUUCUGGCCUCUUUCUUCAUGGAUCCAUUUGCAUGCACUCAUUUUCUAGCUCAUUAUUGCAAUGGCCAUAAUGAUUACAACUGGCUUCUUAAUUCAUAGCUGGUUCUAAUCAUUAAGACAAUUAUGGUUAAUUCAUAGCAGCUCUUAUGGUUAUCAUUAUUAUUCAUCUAUUCAGUUUCAUUUUUAAUAUAAUUAUGGCUUCAGCCAGGACAUCUCAGGCCUACAAGAGGUGAGGGUACACCAUGCAGUGCAGUGCAAUCAAAAUAGCAUGAGUCUCUUUAUUGCAAAAACAAUAUUAUAAUAAUAAAGGAAAAAAAAAACCUGCCUAAUUUCACCACUCUUGCAAAACUGUUUUAAUUUUUUCCUAAUUCUUUCUAAAGCACUUGAAUGCUUUUACUCUGUGGUAAUUACAGUGUGAAUAUGAUUUUGUAUUUUGUUCCUUCCAGUUAACACUACACCAAAUACAGUUUUUCAUGUUGUUUUACUGGCUCCAUCAAUUUUAUGAUGGAUUAGAAUUUGGGUCUCCAGCUGCAUGACUGUCAGCCUGUUAACAUAGCCUUUCUGAGCUAAACUGAUAAAAGUUUAUGAUGCUUUGCUUGUCUAUUGAGGUUUUUUUGAGGAGUCAAUGGGAGGACAUAUAGGCAAAUCAUUAGAAGAGGACUCAGAAAAAGGAGUGUCAAUGCCUGUUAGCUCCUAUUUUUUUCUCUCUUUUUUUUUUUUUUUUUUUUUUUUUUACAAGAUAUAUACCCAGCAGUGGGAAUUGAUGGAUCAUAUGUAGUUCUGUUUUUAGUUUUUUUUUUUUUGAGGAAACUCUGUAUUGUUUUCUAUAGCAGCUGUACCAAUUUAUAUUCCCACCAACAGUGUACAAGGGUUCAUUCACUUUUCUCCACAUCCUUACCAAAAUGUUAUUUUUAGACUUUUUGAUGUUAGUCAUUCUGACAGGUGUGAGGUGAUACUCCAUUGUUUUGAUUUGCAUUUGUCUAAUAAUUAGCAUUGUUGAGCAUCUUUUCAUGUACCUGUUGGGCCCUCUGUUUGUCUUAUUUGGAAAAAUGUCUGUUCAGGUCUUCUGACCGUGUUUUAGAUCGAGUUAUUUAUUUUUUUUGACAUUGUGUGAGCUAUUUAUAUAUAUUUAAAUAUUAACCCCUUGUCAGUCAUAGCAUUUGCAAAUACCGUUCUCCCAUUCCGUAGGUUGUCUUUUCAUUUUGCGAAUGGAUUCCUUUGCUGUGCAAAAGCUUUUAAGUUUAAUUAGGUCCCUCCUAUUUGUUUUUGGUUUUAUUUAUUUUGCUUUAGGAGACAGAUCCAGAAAAAUAUUACUACAAUUUAUGUCAAAGAGAUUUUGCCAAUAUUCUCUUCUAGGAGUUUUAUGGUUUUAGGCUUUUACAUUUAGGGCUUUAAUCUAUUUUGGGUUUAGUUUUGUAUGUAGAGUGAGGUGACUAAUCUCACUCUUUUACAUGUAGCUGUCUCUCUUAGCUCCUGUUUUAUCUCCACCAAGGUUUUGACCUUGGAACAAUAUCUUACCUUUGGGGCUGAAAAGCUUGGUCGUUGAGAUUCCUCUAAAAAUGAAGAUAUUUCUUGGAGUUACUGAGUAUUAUGAAUUAACACUUGAUUUUUGUGAGCCAAAGCCACUAAGACAUAUCCUUGGGAAGCCGUAUUUGGCCAUUUUGCCAGACUGGUCCUGAUCAUUUCUGGACUAUAAGUUGUCUUUCUUAAGUCUUCUUACCCUCAUU
rnacentral:lncRNA from 1 species